GUUGACCUCGGAUCAGGUAGGAAUACCCGCUGAACUUAAGCAUAUCAAUAAGCGGAGGAAAAGAAACCAACAGGGAUUCCCCUAGUAACGGCGAGUGAAGCGGGAACAGCUCAAAUUUGAAAUCUGGCCCUUGGGUCCGAGUUGUAAUUUGCAGAGGAUGCUUUUGGUGCGGUGCCUUCCGAGUUCCCUGGAACGGGACGCCUUAGAGGGUGAGAGCCCCGUACGGUUGGCCACCAAGCCUGUGUAAAGCUCCUUCGACGAGUCGAGUAGUUUGGGAAUGCUGCUCAAAAUGGGAGGUAUAUUUCUUCUAAAGCUAAAUACUGGCCAGAGACCGAUAGCGCACAAGUAGAGUGAUCGAAAGAUGAAAAGCACUUUGAAAAGAGGGUUAAAUAGCACGUGAAAUUGUUGAAAGGGAAGGAUUUAUGACCAGACUUUUUCUGGGGGGAUCAUCCGGUGUUCUCACCGGUGCACUUCCCCCAGUUGAGGCCAGCAUCGGUUUCUGCCGGGGGAUAAAAGCUUCGGGAAUGUGGCUCCUUCGGGAGUGUUAUAGCCCGUUGCAUAAUACCCUGGCGGGGACCGAGGUUCGCGCAUUGCAAGGAUGCUGGCGUAAUGGUUAUUAAUCACCCGUCUUGAAACACGGACCAAGGAGUCGAACAUUUGUGCGAGUGUUUGGGUGUUAAACCCUCACGCGUAAUGAAAGUGAACGGAGGUGAGAGCCUUUCGGGGUGCAUCAUCGACCGAUCCUGAUGUCUUCGGAUGGAUUUGAGUAAGAGCAUAACUGUUCGGACCCGAAAGAUGGUGAACUAUGCGUGGAUAGGGUGAAGCCAGAGGAAACUCUGGUGGAGGCUCGCAGCGGUUCUGACGUGCAAAUCGAUCGUCAAAUCUGCGCAUGGGGGCGAAAGACUAAUCGAACCAUCUAGUAGCUGGUUACCGC
rnacentral:rRNA from 2 species